CUACGGGUUGCUGCAGUCGAGAAUCUUCCGCAAUGCGCGAAAGCGUGACGGAGCAAUGCCGCGUGGUCGAUGAAGGCCUUAGGGUUGUAAAGACCUGUCACAUGGGACGAAGAAUUGACGGUACCAUGAGAGGAAGCCACGGCUAACUACGUGCCAGCAGCCGCGGUAAUACGUAGGUGGCGAGCGUUGUUCGGAUUUAUUGGGCGUAAAGGGUCCGCAGGGGGUUUGCUAAGUCUGAUGUGAAAUCCCGGGGCUCAACCCCGGAACUGCAUUGGAGACUGGUGAACUAGAGUAUCGGAGAGGUAAAUGGAAUUCCUGGUGUAGCGGUGGAAUGCGUAGAUAUCAGGAAGAACACCGAGAGCGAAGGCAAUUUACUGGACGAUCACUGACCCUCAGGGACGAAAGCGUGGGGAGCGAACAGGAUUAGAUACCCGCGUAGUC
rnacentral:rRNA from 1 species